CCGGGACGACCGACGAUCACGUGAGUGCCGGGGGCGUUCACUACGACUUCUUUUCCUUCUGCGCCCACUUCGGUUGCCUGCUUCUCCACCAAAUCUGCAAAGUUUGACAUCAGUUUCGCGCUAUCUCCCAAUUCAGUUACCGGAGUGCGGAUGAAAAUGGAAAAUGGGUGGAGGGAGAAAAUAAAUGCUGGUUGAUCGGAAGGUGCUGCAGUUGGCUCUAGAAUCGCACCAUUGAAUGAUGAAAUAAAUUUUAAGCACACGACUUCAGCAUGGUGUAAUUUAAUUUACAUUCAAUGUAAGUGAGCAAAGUGUUCGUCCCACUUUUUGGGUUCAUACUGUUCUCACCAACCAACUUGUUUUCCUUUCAUUUGAAAGGUUUUUCUAUAUCUGCUA